rnacentral:rRNA from 1 species
AUUGAACGCUGGCGGCAGGCCUAACACAUGCAAGUCGAGCGGCAGCGGGUCCUUCGGGAUGCCGGCGAGCGGCGGACGGGUGAGUAAUGCCUAGGAAUCUGCCUGGUAGUGGGGGAUAACUCGGGGAAACUCGAGCUAAUACCGCAUACGUCCUACGGGAGAAAGCGGGGGAUCUUCGGACCUCGCGCUAUCAGAUGAGCCUAGGUCGGAUUAGCUAGUCGGCGGGGUAAUGGCUCACGAAGGCGACGAUCCGUAGCUGGUCUGAGAGGAUGAUCAGUCACACUGGAACUGAGACACGGUCCAGACUCCUACGGGAGGCAGCAGUGGGGAAUAUUGGACAAUGGGCGAAAGCCUGAUCCAGCCAUGCCGCGUGUGUGAAGAAGGUCUUCGGAUUGUAAAGCACUUUAAGUUGGGAGGAAGGGCAGUAAGUUAAUACCUUGCUGUUUUGACGUUACCGACAGAAUAAGCACCGGCUAACUUCGUGCCAGCCGCCGCCGUAAGAC